GGGGGGACGGAGAAGGUUAGGUCAGCCAACUGUUGGAAUAGUUGGUUUAAGCGUGUAGGCGUGCCCCUUAGGCAAAUCCGGGGGGCUUAGCUGAGGCGUGACGACGAGGUCUCUUUGAGACCGAAGUGAUUGAUACCCUGCUUCCAGGAAAAGCCACUAAGCUUCAGUCUAGAAUUGACCGUACCGCAAACCGACACAGGUGGGCAGGUAGAAGACACUAAGGCGCUUGAGAGAACUCAGGAGAAGGAACUCGGCAAAUUGAUACCGUAACUUCGGGAGAAGGUAUGCCCUGGUAGCUUGUAGGAGAACAUCCGAAGGGCGACGGGGCCGCAGAGAAUCGGUGGCUGCGACUGUUUAUUAAAAACACAGCACUCUGCAAACACGAAAGUGGACGUAUAGGGUGUGACGCCUGCCCGGUGCCGGAAGGUUAAGUGAUGGGGUGCAAGCUCUUGAUCGAAGCCCCGGUAAACGGCGGCCGUAACAAUAACGGUCCUAAGGUAGCGAAAUUCCUUGUCGGGUAAGUUCCGACCUGCACGAAUGGCGUAACGAUGGCCACACUGUCUCCUCCUGAGACUCAGCGAAGUUGAAGUGUUUGUGAAGAUGCAAUCUCCCCGCGGCUAGACGGAAAGACCCCAUGAACCUUUACUGUAGCUUUGCAUUGGACUUUGACGGGACUUGUGUAGGAUAGGUGGGAGGCGCUGAGACCAGGACGCUAGUUCUGGUGGAGCCGUCCUUGAAAUACCACCCUGGUGUCGUUGAGGUUCUAACCUAGGUCCAUCAUCUGGAUCGGGGACCGUGCAUGGUAGGCAGUUUGACUGGGGCGGUCUCCUCCCAAAAGGUAACGGAGGAGUACGAAGGUCUUCUAGGUACGGUCGGACAUCGUACUGAUAGUGCAAUGGCAAGAGAAGGCUUGACUGCGAGACCGACAAGUCGAGCAGGUGCGAAAGCAGGUCAUAGUGAUCCGGUGGUUCUGUAUGGAAGGGCCAUCGCUCAACGGAUAAAAGGUACUCUGGGGAUAACAGGCUGAUUCCGCCCAAGAGUUCACAUCGACGGCGGAGUUUGGCACCUCGAUGUCGGCUCAUCACAUCCUGGGGCUGUAGCCGGUCCCAAGGGUAUGGCUGUUCGCCAUUUAAAGUGGUACGUGAGCUGGGUUUAAAACGUCGUGAGACAGUUUGGUCCCUAUCUGCCGUGGGCGCUGGAUAUUUGAGGGGGCCUGCUCCUAGUACGAGAGGACCGGAGUGGACGGAUCUCUGGUGUACCGGUUGUGACGCCAGUCGCAUCGCCGGGUAGCUAAAUCCGGAAGAGAUAACCGCUGAAAGCAUCUAAGCGGGAAACUCGCCUCGAGAUGAGAUAUCCCUGGGAACUUGAUUCCCCUGAAGGGUCGUCGAAGACCACGACGUUGAUAGGUCGGGUGUGGAAGC
rnacentral:rRNA from 1 species